CGCAGCCAGUGCCACCGGCUCCAGCUGGAGGAGGAGGCGGCGGCGGCGGCGCGGCUCGCACGGGGACUGGAAAGGAGUCUUUUAUCCUUCAGUGAUAGCACAAUGAAGCCAUAAAUCUGGAAAGGAAAAAAUGAAAGCAAUCAUUCAAGGCGGAAACACUGGCUGUGGUUUCAUUAAAAUGUGUAAUUGCUGGGCCCUUUGAUUAUUUUUUAAUAUAUAUUUUUACCAUUGGAAAUGAAAUAAAACAUAUUCAAC